AAAGUUGUUUAGAGCUAAAAUUUGUUUAGAAGUUGAGAAAAUCCUUUAUAGAUUUCAAAGAAAAAGAGUUUUAUGUGUAAAGUAUUCUUGGGAUCUUUUGGUGAGAGAUGAGAGUUGGGUUUGACAUUGGGAAGUGAUUGUGUAACUUGUAUGUUUGAGAAAAGGGUAGAACAAUGGAGAUUGAGCAUUGUAUGCAUGAGUUGGUCCAUUUCUUAGAUAUAUUAUGUGCAAUGUCAAGGCUACUUGUUUUGAGAAUAAACCACUUUAAAAGAUCAUGGAUUUUGAAC
rnacentral:lncRNA from 1 species